UCAGUCUUCCGGGGCAGUUGUCUGAAUCAAAGCGAAAAAAAAUCUGUUCUUAUCAGCUUAACAUCUGAUAGUUUCUCCAUUGGAGAACAACAAAUGUUAAACUGAUUUUUGGAAAUAGACGGAGUGCUAGGAGCUUGCUCCACCUCUGUCGCGGGUUGGCCCGGUAUUGCAGUACCGCCGGGAUUCGGCCCAACUAAA